UUAAGUGGCAGGGAAGGGAAGGAAAAUGCAAACAGUGAAAAGGAAGCAGGCCUGCUCAGACAUUUCUUGCACAGCCAGUAGAAGACAGCCCUAAAAUGUUUCAGCGCUGGUGUGAGCCCCACUGCUCCAUCUACUUCACCAGCUCUUGUUACAGACACCAGUCCUGUGUUCACCAUGCACUUGCUGAAAUACGGAGCUGCACAGAAUCAUAAGGAUCAAGGUGUCUGAGGUGUGUUCUUGAGAACCUGAUUGUGAUGGAGACUGGAG